CAAGUCGAGCGGACCUCUUCGGAGGUCAGCGGCGGACGGGUGAGUAACACGUGGGCAACCUGCCUGUAAGACUGGGAUAACUCCGGGAAACCGGAGCUAAUACCGGAUACUAUGUCAAACCGCAUGGUUUGACAUUCAAAGACGGUUUCGGCUGUCACUUACAGAUGGGCCCGCGGCGCAUUAGCUAGUUGGUGAGGUAAUGGCUCACCAAGGCGACGAUGCGUAGCCGACCUGAGAGGGUGAUCGGCCACACUGGGACUGAGACACGGCCCAGACUCCUACGGGAGGCAGCAGUAGGGAAUCUUCCGCAAUGGACGAAAGUCUGACGGAGCAACGCCGCGUGAGUGAUGAAGGUUUUCGGAUCGUAAAACUCUGUUGUCAGGGAAGAACAAGUGCCGGAGUAACUGCCGGCACCUUGACGGUACCUGACCAGAAAGCCACGGCUAACUACGUGCCAGCAGCCGCGGUAAUACGUAGGUGGCAAGCGUUGUCCGGAAUUAUUGGGCGUAAAGCGCGCGCAGGCGGUUUCUUAAGUCUGAUGUGAAAGCCCCCGGCUCAACCGGGGAGGGUCAUUGGAAACUGGGAAACUUGAGUGCAGAAGAGGAGAGUGGAAUUCCACGUGUAGCGGUGAAAUGCGUAGAGAUGUGGAGGAACACCAGUGGCGAAGGCGACUCUCUGGUCUGUAACUGACGCUGAGGCGCGAAAGCGUGG
rnacentral:rRNA from 2 species